rnacentral:rRNA from 1 species
UACGUAGGGCGCAAGCGUUGUCCGGAAUUACUGGGCGUAAAGCGCACGUAGGCGGAUAUUUAAGUCAGGGUGAAAUCCCGGGGCUCAACCCCGGAACUGCCUUUGAUACUGGGUAUCUCGAGUCCGAGAGAGGUGAGUGGAAUUCCGAGUGUAGAGGUGAAAUUCGUAGAUAUUCGGAGGAACACCAGUGGCGAAGGCGGCUCACUGGCUCGGUACUGACGCUGACGGUGCGAAAGCGUGGGGAGCAAACAGGG